GCCAGGUAGGCUCAGUUGGUUAGAGCACUGUCCUGAUGCACCAAGGUUGUGGGUUCAAUCCCCACAUGUGGGG
rfam:Myotis lucifugus cont2.11695, whole genome shotgun sequence.